GACGAACGCUGGCGGCGUGCUUACCACAUGCAAGUCGAACGGUGAAGGCGGAGCUUGCUCCGCUGGAUCAGUGGCGAACGGGUGAGUAACACGUGGGCAACCUGCCCCUCACUUCGGGAUAACUCCGGGAAACCGGGGCUAAUACCGGAUAUGACCUCCUUGGGCAUCCUUGGAGGUGGAAAGUUUUUCGGUGAGGGAUGGGCCCGCGGCCUAUCAGCUUGUUGGUGAGGUAGUGGCUCACCAAGGCGACGACGGGUAGCCGGCCUGAGAGGGCGACCGGCCACACUGGGACUGAGACACGGCCCAGACUCCUACGGGAGGCAGCAGUGGGGAAUAUUGCGCAAUGGGCGAAAGCCUGACGCAGCAACGCCGCGUGCGGGAUGACGGCCUUCGGGUUGUAAACCGCUUUCAGCAGGGAAGAAGCCGCAAGGUGACGGUACCUGCAGAAGAAGCACCGGCUAACUACGUGCCAGCAGCCGCAGUAA
rnacentral:rRNA from 1 species